GCAAUCCUAGAAAAAAAAAAUUAGCUACUCAUGAUUGAAAAGACAAAUAACAUUAUAUAUAAUUCAACCAUUGAGAGUAAAAAGAAAAAUAAAAGCUAAGGAAGAAACAAAAUAAAUAUUUGCAACCUUGCUCUCCAAGUUUCAAUCUCCACUUCUAGUUUCUUGAAUCUCCAAAAGUUUUCUCCCCUAAUGUCUCUUAAAAAUAUCCUAUUUAUACUAAUAAACUUAACCUAUAGUUCCCUAAGUUGAUUUAUGAUUUAGUUGGGCUUAAAAGUGUAAUGAGAGGCCCAAACAUCAAUUGUUAGUCUUUAAAAUUGCCAUUUCCACCACAAUACUUCUAGCCAUUUUCCUAUGCAAUUUUCUUUAUCUUCG
rnacentral:lncRNA from 1 species